rnacentral:rRNA from 1 species
AUUGAACGCUGGCGGAAUGCUUUACACAUGCAAGUCGAACGGCAGCACGGACUUCGGUCUGGUGGCGAGUGGCGAACGGGUGAGUAAUGUACCGGAACGUGCCCAGUCGUGGGGGAUAACGUAGUGAAAAUUACGCUAAUACCGCAUACGAUCUAUGGAUGAAAGCGGGGGAUCGCAAGACCUCGCGCGAUUGGAGCGGCCGAUAUCAGAUUAGGUAGUUGGCGGGGUAAAGGCCCACCAAGCCAACGAUCUGUAGCUGGUCUGAGAGGACGACCAGCCACACUGGAACUGAGACACGGUCCAGACUCCUACGGGAGGCAGCAGUGGGGAAUUUUGGACAAUGGGCGAAAGCCUGAUCCAGCCAUUCCGCGUGCAGGAUGAAGGCCCUCGGGUUGUAAACUGCUUUUGUACAGAACGAAAAGGUUUCUACUAAUACUAGGAGCUCAUGACGGUACUGUAAGAAUAAGCACCGGCUAACUACGUGCCAGCCGCCGCAGUAA